GAUGAACGCUGGCGGCGUGCCUAAUACGUGCAAGUCGAGCGAACAGGUGAGGAGCUUGCUCCUCUGACGUUAGCGGCGGACGGGUGAGUAACACGUGGAUAACCUACCUAUAAGACUGGGAUAACUUCGGGAAACCGGAGCUAAUACCGGAUAAUAUAUUGAACCGCAUGGUUCAAUAGUGAAAGACGGUUUUGCUGUCACUUAUAGAUGGAUCCGCGCCGCAUUAGCUAGUUGGUAAGGUAACGGCUUACCAAGGCAACGAUGCGUAGCCGACCUGAGAGGGUGAUCGGCCACACUGGAACUGAGACACGGUCCAGACUCCUACGGGAGGCAGCAGUAGGGAAUCUUCCGCAAUGGGCGAAAGCCUGACGGAGCAACGCCGCGUGAGUGAUGAAGGUCUUCGGAUCGUAAAACUCUGUUAUUAGGGAAGAACAAAUGUGUAAGUAACUAUGCACGUCUUGACGGUACCUAAUCAGAAAGCCACGGCUAACUACGUG
rnacentral:rRNA from 1 species